AUCUACCACCACUGUUUACACAGACCAGGAGUCCUUGCCUGAGGAGAGCUGAUGGAGGAGCCGUGCACCUGGAGAACCAUGAGUCUGCCUGCCAACAAGUAGUACUGGGAUAGGGAGGUGAUGGAGGACCUGCCUGGUGAAGGACGUCAGGGUGGGGAGAGUGACACCCGACUCCAAGGGGAUAUCCACUGAGGAGAGAGCUGAAGGAGCCAUGCAUCUGGAAGGUGCAGUUGAAAUGCUGUGUCCAGUCUGGGACAGACAGACCUGAGCUGCGUCAAGCCUGUAUCUCUGACCAGCUGGAGUCCCUUAGUGAUCAACAACCGCCACUCAUCGCUGGCCUGUGGAUUCAUCUCCUUCACACUCACACAACAGGACUUUGGUCUGUGGAUUCAUCUCCUCCACACUCACACAACAGGACUUUGGCCUGUGGAUUCAUCUCCUCCACACUCGCGCAACGUGACCUUCUCACCAUCUGUUGCACGUUUGGAUGCACCAAGCGUGUUCCAUCGAGGGUUCCUUCCUCCCCACGGUGGGAGGGUUCCUUGUCCUUCAAGGCGUCGGGGUUCAGUGUUAGGGACAGAGUUAGGGACAGAUAGCUGCGCUGGAUUCACGAUACACGCUUUGUGAUCAAAAUGGGUUCGGACAUCGGACAAAUCGCUUCCCAAAAUGUUUCAAUGUGCAAACGAUUUUAUAAAAUGUAUACUCGUGGUGUUUAUAUAAAA